rnacentral:lncRNA from 1 species
GACAGCAAGGGCGGUUUGUAAUAUAUUCAGAAGCAGUGGAUGGUGUGCAGGCCUCCUGACUAAAAGUCCAUUACCGAAUACCUCUCUCCUCCGCCGACGUCGUCUUUGAGCAGCCUCUGGGAUAUGUUAAAUCGCCUUGGGGGUUACGAGCAAGGGAUCCAAUUCAGUAAAGUCGUACUUCUGGUCAAAAUGCUGUGUGUUUUUGAGAUGUUACAGAGUGAGGACACAUCACGGGAUGUCAUCAGAGACUGUGAGGCGGGCGUAUCUCAGGUUUACCUGAAAACAUAGGGGACACAUCUUGGAGAAACAUGCAAAGAAGGGUUGCCAGUGGAGAAAGCUGAUCGAGAGUGCUUGCAGAGGAUGAGAGAGACAUUUGGACAGUAGUUAUUGUUGACCUGAUGAGUGAUAAGGAGGAUGGCCUGCAAAAUGGAAAAACAAUGUGGUUCGUCAAGCCCCCCUACUUCCGG